GAACCUUACCAGGGCUUGACAUGCACGGUGCACCUCUAGAGAUAGAGGGUCCUUUGGGGUCGUGCACAGGUGGUGCAUGGUUGUCGUCAGCUCGUGUCGUGAGAUGUUGGGUUAAGUCCCGCAACGAGCGCCGUCCUGUAUUGCCAGCAGCAUCUUCGGAUGGCUGGGGACUUGCGGGAGACUGCCGGGGUCAACUCGGAGGAAGGUGGGGACGACGUCAAAUCAUCAUGCCCCUUAUGUCCUGGGCUGCACGCAUGCUACAAUGGCCGGUACAGAGGGCUGCGAUACCGUGAGGUGGAGCGAAUCCCGUAAGGCCGGUCUCAGUUCGGAUCGGGGUCUGCAACUCGACCCCGUGAAGUCGGAGUCGCUAGUAAUCGCAGAUCAGCAACGCUGCGGUGAAUACGUUCCCGGGCCUUGUCACACCGA
rnacentral:rRNA from 1 species